rnacentral:siRNA from 1 species
GUCACUCGACCGCAAGUUCACCA